ACUCCUGCGGGAGGCAGCAGUGGGGAAUUUUGGACAAUGGGCGAAAGCCUGAUCCAGCAAUGCCGCGUGUGUGAAGAAGGCCUUCGGGUUGUAAAGCACUUUUGUCCGGAAAGAAAUCCUUGGCUCUAAUACAGUCGGGGGAUGACGGUACCGGAAGAAUAAGCACCGGCUAACUACGUGCCAGCAGCCGCGGUAAUACGUAGGGUGCGAGCGUUAAUCGGAAUUACUGGGCGUAAAGCGUGCGCAGGCGGUUUGCUAAGACCGAUGUGAAAUCCCCGGGCUCAACCUGGGAACUGCAUUGGUGACUGGCAGGCUGGAGUAUGGCAGAGGGGGGUAGAAUUCCACGUGUAGCAGUGAAAUGCGUAGAGAUGUGGAGGAAUACCGAUGGCGAAGGCAGCCCCCUGGGCCAAUACUGACGCUCAUGCACGAAAGCGUGGGGAGCAAACAGGAUUAGAUACCCUAGUAGUCCCA
rnacentral:rRNA from 1 species